rnacentral:rRNA from 1 species
UACAGAGGUCUCAACCGUUGUUCGGAUUCAUUGGGCGUAAAGGGUGCGUAGGCGGUCGGGUAAGUCGGAUGUGAAAUCCCAGGGCUCAACCCUGGAACUGCAUUCGAUACUGCCUGGCUAGGGUACUGGAGAGGAGACUGGAAUUUACGGUGUAGCAGUGAAAUGCGUAGAUAUCGUAAGGAAGACCAGUGGCGGAGGCGAGUCUCUGGACAGUUACCGACGCUGAGGCACGAAGGUCAGGGGAGCAAACGGG